rnacentral:lncRNA from 1 species
UCAACUUGACUGGAUGUCGAGGGGGAUGAUGAUGCAUGCGUCAACUCAUCGCCUGUCGAUCUCCCCGACCACAAGUGUUCACAAAUAAGUGUUCGUAAACGUUUUAGGCUUAAUUUCUGUAUUCGUCGAGGUAACGCGCUGCUGUGGUAGUUUUGGAUGACAGUCUGUAGACGAAUUUAAUGAGUUUUCUAGACUACGGACGCUGAUUGGGACGUGCACACAAAGAUUAGAAGGGGCACACCGGCUGUUGUUUGAAUUUGACCUGGCCUGAAAGAAUUCACGGAUCAUCUCAUCAUUUCCCGUGAGAUGUGUUUGAGAAGCCAUAUGAGUGAGCAGCCAUGCGUCCUUACACCACAGGAGAGAAGAAGAAGAGAUGGAGCGAGACUGCACGUGCAUCGGGAAAUUUAUUCCUGGGGUCCCGGUCCUGAUGUCGAUACAACAGCGAGCCGUCGGACAGCCUGCAGGAAAUGCAGAAUUUGAAGGAAUCUGUACUUGAAAAAUCAAGACCUACACUUAUGACCGCAGCAAAUAUAAGACAAUGACAAUGACAGGUAAGAGAAAUUGUCUUUUUGUCCACUUACAACUCCAUAGUCCUUCUUCUUCCAUCGCUCUUUCGAGCCAGCGAGUUGACUUUCUAAACACAAAGAAAGCUGACUCCCAGCACUGUUUGUAUUCAGCCAUAUCCGAUACAGUUAAAUCUUCUUCCACUUUUCCUGUCACACUUUUGGCGAAUUUUUUGCAAUAUUUCAACAACAAAAAAUGGAAACCAGGCAAACGGCAUAGUAUUGAAGCGUCGCUCGCAUCAGCAGACUUGAGGUAGACGUCCUCGGUAAAACAAUAAUUAAUAAUACCUGUAUGUCAUCGAACGAUUGAUUACUUCAUCUUCGCAUAAUUAUCAAAUUCUACCACGAGUUUUAAAUUUAGCUUUACUCUAAACUGUAUACGUUGUGCUGAGACAGGGUUAAAAAGAAAUCUUCAAGUACUUACCUUAAUAUUCUCUCUUAUUUAAUUACUGUGGUAUCCCCCUGUUUGGCAGUUUGUGUUUGUGUCUACGAUUGAGGCUUUCGUUUGGUGUUUUGUUUGUUGCUCUUAACUGGCAAGAACACCAGAAGAAACUAGGCCAAAAAUGGACAGCAGAUGGCUCUUUUCAUCCGACCACUGCCCCAAGCACUGGUCUAUAAGAAAAUGUGUGACCCAGUGAACUCAACCAUAUUAUAGUUUGGGCUCGGCGGGGGAGGGAGAAACAGUACACACAUUCUCAGGCACUGUCGACAGCAUUUGUCAUAACAAUUACCUUCUGUGAGGAAGAUUGGACGGUACAAGGGGAGCUCUUUUCUUAAGCUAUGUUUGGAAACCAGAAUAUUUAGAUCAUACUUUGUUCCUAUCUGUCAUUCUUCUGUGAUACGUCUUAUGAUCUUAUUAUCUUCCUGUUUUAUUUUCAUUUUGCUUUAUCAGAAUAAUUAUCACCAUCUUGUGAGUUAACUAGAGAAAAGAAGAGUAUAGAAUACAGAACAUGGACAUGGAGAGACAGACAGUUAAUACUUAUCUACAUGUAUAUAACAAACCAUUAUUGGGAGAAUACUGUAAAUGUGCUCACCUCAAAAAGAAAAGUAAGUUCCCAUGAGAUAAUUUUCCAUACACUCUCAUAUACAUUCAGCCGUAAGAAUAGAGCUAGGGUUAGAAAGGAGUGAGAAAGAGAAAAACAAACAUACAGACGGAGAUACAAAGAAGAAGAAGAAGAAGAAAAAGAAGAAGAAGAAGAAGAAG